rnacentral:rRNA from 1 species
UACGGAGGGUGCGAGCGUUGUCCGGAAUCAUUGGGCGUAAAGGGCGCGUAGGUGGCCUGCUAAGCGUGCGGUGAAAGCUCGGGGCUCAACCCCGAGUCGGCCGUGCGAACUGGUGGGCUUGAGCACUGUAGAGGCAGGCGGAAUUCCGGGUGUAGCGGUGGAAUGCGUAGAGAUCCGGAAGAACACCGGUGGCGAAGGCGGCCUGCUGGGCAGUUGCUGACACUGAGGCGCGACAGCGUGGGGAGCAAACAGG